AAAAUCUCAUGUGCAACCAAUAGAUAUUAAUUAGUAUAUUACAGUACAUGAUACAACUACAAGAUCCUUAUAUAUACUUAGGUGAAAUCAAAUUUUGCAGUGUAGGAGGCAGACAAUAUCUGAAUAACAUAAAUGUAUCCACGAGUGGCACAAAUAAAUAUCAUAUGCUUGAAGGAGACAAGCCCUACUGGUUGUGCAUGUUCCUACACCAAUAAGAUGCAGAAUCGUAGCUAAUUCAUGUGAUCAGAUCUGAAUAAUGUAUAUUGCUUAUGCACAUUGGAUGAUGCGUUGGGGUG
rnacentral:lncRNA from 1 species